CUGCUGCCUUCCGUAGGAGUCUGGGCCGUGUCUCAGUCCCAAUGUGGCCGAUCAACCUCUCAGUCCGGCUACCGAUCGUCGCCUUGGUGGGCCGUUGCCCCACCAACUAGCUAAUCGGCCGCGAGCCCAUCUUCCAGCGGAUUGCUCCUUUGGCUGCAUCGGGAUGCCCCAUCGCAGCGUUAUGCGGUAUUAGCAGUCGUUUCCAACUGUUAUCCCCCUCUGAAAGGCAGGUUGCUCACGUUG
rnacentral:rRNA from 1 species